GAUGAACGCUGGCGGCGUGCCUAAUACAUGCAAGUCGAGCGAACGGACGAGAAGCUUGCUUCUCUGAUGUUAGCGGCGGACGGGUGAGUAACACGUGGAUAACCUACCUAUAAGACUGGGAUAACUUCGGGAAACCGGAGCUAAUACCGGAUAAUAUUUUGAACCGCAUGGUUCAAAAGUGAAAGACGGUCUUGCUGUCACUUAUAGAUGGAUCCGCGCUGCAUUAGCUAGUUGGUAAGGUAACGGCUUACCAAGGCAACGAUGCAUAGCCGACCUGAGAGGGUGAUCGGCCACACUGGAACUGAGACACGGUCCAGACUCCUACGGGAGGCAGCAGUAGGGAAUCUUCCGCAAUGGGCGAAAGCCUGACGGAGCAACGCCGCGUGAGUGAUGAAGGUCUUCGGAUCGUCAAACUCUGUUAUUAGGGAAGAACAUAUGUGUAAGUAACUGUGCACAUCUUGACGGUACCUAAUCAGAAAGCCACGGCUAACUACGUGCCAGCAGCCGCGGUAAUACGUAGGUGGCAAGCGUUAUCCGGAAUUAUUGGGCGUAAAGCGCGCGUAGGCGGUUUUUUUAAUUCUGAUGUGAAAGCCCACGGCUCCACCCGUGGAGGGUCAUUGGAAACUGGAAAACUUGAGUGCAGAAGAGGAAAGUGGAAUUCCAUGUGUAGCGGUGAAAUGCGCAGAGAUAUGGAGGAACACCAGUGGCGAAGGCGACUUUCUGGUCUGUAACUGACGCUGAUGUGCGAAAGCGUGGGGAUCAAACAGGAUUAGAUACCCUGGUAGUCCACGCCGUAAACGAUGAGUGCUAAGUGUUAGGGGGUUUCCGCCCCUUAGUGCUGCAGCUAACGCAUUAAGCACUCCGCCUGGGGAGUACGACCGCAAGGUUGAAACUCAAAGGAAUUGACGGGGACCCGCACAAGCGGUGGAGCAUGUGGUUUAAUUCGAAGCAACGCGAAGAACCUUACCAAAUCUUGACAUCCUUUGACAACUCUAGAGAUAGAGCCUUCCCCUUCGGGGGACAAAGUGACAGGUGGUGCAUGGUUGUCGUCAGCUCGUGUCGUGAGAUGUUGGGUUAAGUCCCGCAACGAGCGCAACCCUUAAGCUUAGUUGCCAUCAUUAAGUUGGGCACUCUAAGUUGACUGCCGGUGACAAACCGGAGGAAGGUGGGGAUGACGUCAAAUCAUCAUGCCCCUUAUGAUUUGGGCUACACACGUGCUACAAUGGACAAUACAAAGGGCAGCGAAACCGCGAGGUCAAGCAAAUCCCAUAAAGUUGUUCUCAGUUCGGAUUGUAGUCUGCAACUCGACUACAUGAAGCUGGAAUCGCUAGUAAUCGUAGAUCAGCAUGCUACGGUGAAUACGUUCCCGGGUCU
rnacentral:rRNA from 1 species